UUCGAACGCMCCGCAGGKGAGUGGCAGACGGGUGAGUAACGCGUGGGAAUCUACCYAGYUCUWCGGAAYARCUSMGGGAAACUKSARYUAAUACCGWRUACGCCCUACGGGGGAAAGAUUUAUCGGRRUURGAUGAGCCCGCGUUGGAUUAGCUAGUUGGUGRGGUAAYGGCYYACYAAGGCGACGAYCCAUAGCUGGUCUGAGAGGAUGAUCAGCCMCACUGGGACUGAGACACGGCCCAGACUCCUACGGGAGGCAGCAGUGGGGAAUAUUGGACAAUGGGCGCAAGCCUGAUCCAGCCAUGCCGCGUGAGUGAUGAAGGCCYUAGGGUUGUAAAGCUCUUUCRGUGGGGAMGAUAAUGACGGUACCCACAGAAGAAGCCCCGGCUAACUUCGUGCCAGCAGCCGCGGUAAUACGAAGGGGGCUAGCGUUGUUCGGAUUUACUGGGCGUAAAGCGCACGUAGGCGGAUCGUUAAGUCGGGGGUGAAAUCCUGGGGCUCAACCCCAGAACUGCCUUCGAUACUGGCGAUCUCGAGUCCGGAAGAGGUGAGUGGAACUCCUAGUGUAGAGGUGGAAUUCGUAGAUAUUAGGAAGAACACCAGUGGCGAAG
rnacentral:rRNA from 1 species